rnacentral:misc_RNA from 1 species
AGUCGUAACAAGGUUUCCGUAGGUGAACCUGCGGAAGGAUCAUUGUCGAAACCUGCCCAGCAGAACGACCCGCGAACCUGUGACUGCUCUCGAGGUGGGGUCUGGCGUAGGGCGCUCUGGCUCCCCGCCUUGUCCCCUCUCCUGCCGCAGGGGCCGAACGAGAUCUCUCGCUCGCCCUUCGCGGUCGAACAACGAACCCCCGGCGCGAGCCGCGCCAAGGAAUACGAAACGAGAGAGGGUGCUCUCGUCGCCCCGGGAACGGAUCGGCGUACGGGAUGCCCGCCCUUCUUUCAACAAAAAUCCAAAACGACUCUCGGCAACGGAUAUCUCGGCUCUCGCAUCGAUGAAAAAUGCGAUACUUGGUGUGAAUUGCAGAAUCCCGUGAACCAUCGAGUCUUUGAACGCAAGUUGCGCCCCAAGCCGUCAGGCCGAGGGCACGUCUGCCUGGGUGUCACGCAUCGUUGCCCCCCCACCCCCCCUCUGGGGGGGAUCGCUGGACGGGCGGAGAAUGGCCUCCCGUGCGCUACGGCUCACGGUUGGCCCAAAUCUGAGUCUUUCGGCGACCGUGCCGCGACGAUCGGUGGUGGAACAUGCCUCUCGAGCUCCCGUCGCGCGCUCGCGUCUCCGUGUCACCGGCUCGUUGGCCCUUCUACGCGCCCUCUCCUACCCGAGACGGCGCUCUACUUGCGACCCCAGGUCAGGGGGGACUACCCGCUGAGUUUAAGCA